rnacentral:rRNA from 2 species
CUUUCAGCAACGGAUCUCUUGGCUCCGGCAUCGAUGAAGAACGCAGCGAAGCGCGAUAGUUAAUGUGAAUUGCAGACUCAGCGAACCAUCGAAUCUUUGAACGCACAUUGCGCCCCCGGGCAUUCCCGGGGGCAUGCCCGUCCGAGCGUC